ACUCAAAGGAAUAGACGGGGGCCCGCACAAGCGGUGGAGCAUGUGGUUUAAUUCGAUGCAACGCGAAGAACCUUACCUACCCUUGACAUCCUAGGAAUAUUGCAGAGAUGCGAUAGUGCCGAAAGGAACCUAGAGACAGGUGCUGCAUGGCUGUCGUCAGCUCGUGUUGUGAGAUGUUGGGUUAAGUCCCGUAACGAGCGCAACCCUUAUCCUUAGUUACCAACGUGUUAUGGCGGGGACUCUAAGGAGACUGCUGGUGAUGAACCGGAGGAAGGCGGGGACGACGUCAAGUCAUCAUGGCCUUUAUGGGUAGGGCUACACACGUGCUACAAUGGUCGGUACAGAGGGCAGCCAACCCGCGAGGGGGAGCCAAUCCCGCAAAGCCGAUCAUAGUCCAGAUCGGAGUCUGCAACUCGACUCCGUGAAGUCGGAAUCGCUAGUAAUCGCGAAUCAGAAUGUCGCGGUGAAUACGUUCCCGGGCCUUGUACACACCGCCCGU
rnacentral:rRNA from 1 species